rnacentral:rRNA from 1 species
GAUGAACGCUGGCGGCGUGCCUAAUACAUGCAAGUCGAGCGAACAGACGAGGAGCUUGCUCCUCUGACGUUAGCGGCGGACGUGUGAGUAACACGUGGAUAACCUACCUAUAAGACUGGUAUAACUUCGGGAAACCGGAUCUAAUACCGGAUAAUAUAUUGAACCGCAUGGUUCAAUAGUGAAAGACGGUGUUUCUGUCACUUAUAGAUGGAUCCGCGCCGCAUUAGCUAGUUGGUAAGGUAACGGCUUACCAAGGCAACGAUGCGUAGCCGACCUGAGGGGGUGAUCGGCCACACGGGAACUGAGACACGGUCCAGACUCCUACGGGAGGCAGCAGUAGGGAAUCUUCCGCAAUGGGCGAAAGCCUGACGGAGCAACGCCGCGUGAGUGAUGAAGGUCUUCGGAUCGGAAAACUCUGUUAUUAGGGAAGAACAAAUGUGUAAGUAACUAUGCACGUCUUGACGGUAACUAAUCAGAAAGCCACGGCUAACUACGUG